ensembl:lncRNA
GGACACUGAGGUCCAGCGCCGAGGGCCUUCUGGCGGUUCCCUCAUUGCGAGAAGCGAAGUUACAGGGAACCAGGCAGAGGGCCUUCUUGGUAGUGGCGCCCACCCUGUGGAACAUCAGAUGUCAAAGAAAUAAACAACUAUCUGACUUUUAGAAGAGAUCUGAAGGCAGCCCUGUUUAGGGAAGUUUUUAAUAUUUGAUGAAUUAUUGUAUUUUAAUCUUUUGUUGGAAACCGCCCAGAGUGGCUGUGAGAAUCCAGCCAGAUGGGCGGGGGUAUAAAUAAUAAAUUAUUAUUGUUAUUGUUAUUAUUUAUUAGUCUGUUGCAGGGAUUUGAACUGCUGACCUUCCGAUCGGCAAGCCUAAAGAGGCUCAGUGUUUUAGACCACAGCACCACCCGUGUCAACUAGAGGAUCCUGUACAAUGGACAUGAAAUGGCAGAAGCAGUUGUGCUCCAUCAAGAAAAGGAUUCCUUGCAAUGUUUUGAUGGGAGAAAUGCAGAAGCAGCUGCAACACUUCGUAUUGUCUGUCUGGAUCUGAUUCUCGAAUGUCUAUGUAAUUGUUUAAAAGUUAAGGCAGGAAAAAAGGAAAGCAGUUACAGAUACCGAAAAGAAGAGAUCAUCCGCUUUGGUUCAUCAAAGUGAGGACCACUCAUCAGGAUGAUGGGGGGCAGCAGCAGGAGGCCCCAAAGAUUGUUAAGCCCUUAAACUAUGAUGCGCAGUUGAGGAAUACGGCAGCCAAUGGAAUAAAAGAACAGUGUGUGGUUUUGAAAGAGAGGAAAAGAUACAAUUGGCCCAGAGCUUUGGAAGAUUACUCCGCUAAUCUUACUUCUCCAUCCUUCUGUUUCCUUAUCUGGCGAGAUCCAAUUGCGCCGCCGCCCGCACCACAUCUGGAUCGCGCGUCCCCUUCUCCCCUGGGGUCCCCUGCAAACAGAAGCAGCCACCACCCGCCCCCUCCAGGCUUUUGCAUCUGGGCCCAGCAGCAGCGAGCGAGCGGCCUCGUCAUCCGUGCGCCUGCAUCCCCCACAUCGCCCUCCGCGGCCACGAGCCGCACAUGUGCAGAAGCGGCGAAUCUCAACCCACGCGUGUGCAGACGCGCCUCUGCGGUUUGCACUCUUUUCAUGUUGCGAACGGCCCUCCGGAAUGGAUCCCGUUUGCAACCAGAGGUACCACUGUACCCCUAAACAUUUUUAAAGAAAAAAAGCACUGAUCAAACUUAUGUGGUCUCAGUUCAGAGUGCAUGCUGAAAGAGCCGACAUGUGUACAUGUAGAACCCAUUGAUUUGAUCUGAUUCUAGUGGUGAGGACCACAAUAAACCAACAGUUACCCUUGACCCCCAUUCCACAAGGCUGCAUCUCACAAGCAUUCUCACCCAUUUUAUAUUUUUAGGCACCGGGCAAAAACAUUCCUCUCCAACCAGGCCUUUGGCUGAUUGCAGCCUUUUAAAUAUGUAUGUGGGGAGGGGGAUUAUUGUUCUGUUGUUCUGGUUUAAUUACUUACUUGUGUUUUAUUUUGUAUUUUAUUCUGUGAACGGCCUUGUGCUCUUUUGAUGAAAGGUGGUAUAUAAAUUUAAUUAAUUAAUAAGAAUAAGAGGUCAGCGUCUAUUUGGGCUUUUGACAGCAUUUUGUUCCGUUACUCAGCCUUCUGAGAUUUAAGUGUAAGUGUAUAACAUUAGCUGGAUAAGUUAUUGUUUGUUGUUUUCUUACCUUCUUUUUUUUUUAAAAAAAAUAGUAUUAUAUUAAAGAUUUUCUUGGUUUACAAAAGUAUGUGCAAUCUCUCUCUCUCUUUUCUUCAAGUAACAUUUUUUACAAAUCAGUUUCAUUUGUUGAGACAUUGGGAAGAAAAGGGGGAAACAGGUGGGGGGGAAGGUGAGUGUUUUCUUACCUUCUGAACCAUUUUAAUCUGUGUAAGUAUUGGAGUUUUUCUCUCUUGUAGAGUUUUCUUUUAGGAAAGUCUGUGUGUGAUUUUAUGAAGGAAAGAAUAAGAAUAAGAAUA